CGGUCUCGGUAGGAUGCCUCGGCCAAGGUGUCCCUGAGAAUGGAUUUAUGGCACAAGCCUAGUUUUUAUGAGAUUCAUAAGCCUCUUCACGUAUUUUGAAUGAAAUGUAUUCUAAUGCUGUGACCCAGUUUACGAUGAUUUACUUUAUUGUCUCUAUGUACUCAACUCUAGAUGUUUAUGAUGAUGUCUGUUUACUCAUUGGGAUUUUAUAAUCUCACCACCCUCCUUUUCAUCCAUUUCAGGUUCAGCAUAGACUGUAGAUAGCUGAUCUCAUC
rnacentral:lncRNA from 1 species